rnacentral:rRNA from 1 species
GAUCAACGCUGGCGGCGUGCCUUACGCAUGCAAGUCGAACGGUGCCCGGUUUCGGCCGGGGGCAGUGGCGAACGGGUGAGUAACACGUGCGUGACCUGCCGUCCCGUGGGGGAUACCCCGCCGAAAGGCGGGUCAAUCCCGCAUCCGCUCCCCGGGGCUGCCCGGGGAGGAAAGGCCCGUUGGGUCGCGGGGCGAGGGGCGCGCGGCCGAUUAGCUGGUUGGCGGGGUAAAGGCCCACCAAGGCGAUGAUCGGUAGCUGGGCUGAGAGGCUGGCCAG